rnacentral:rRNA from 1 species
UACGUAGGGACCAAGCGUUGUUCGGAUUUACUGGGCGUAAAGGGCGCGUAGGCGGCAAAUUAAGUCAUCUGUGAAAUCUCCGAGCUUAACUCGGAACGGUCAGGUGAUACUGAUCUGCUAGAGUGCGGAAGGGGCAAUCGGAAUUCUUGGUGUAGCGGUGAAAUGCGUAGAUAUCAAGAGGAACACCGAUGGCGAAGGCAGUUCUCUGGGCCGUAACUGACGCUGAGGAGCGAAAGCGUGGGGAGCGAACAGG